ACGGGAGGCAGCAGUGGGGAAUAUUGGACAAUGGGGGAAACCCUGAUCCAGCGACGCCGCGUGAGUGAAGAAGUAUUUCGGUAUGUAAAGCUCUAUCAGCAAGGAAGAAAAUGACGGUACUUGACUAAGAAGCCCCGGCUAACUACGUGCCAGCAGCCGCGGUAAUACGUAGGGGGCAAGCGUUAUCCGGAUUUACUGGGUGUAAAGGGAGCGUAGACGGCAUAGCAAGUCUGAAGUGAAAUGCAUGGGCUCAACCCAUGAACUGCUUUGGAAACUGUUAAGCUAGAGUGCAGGAGAGGUAAGUGGAAUUCCUAGUGUAGCGGUGAAAUGCGUAGAUAUUAGGAGGAACACCAGAGGCGAAGGCGGCUUACUGGACUGUAACUGACGUUGAGGCUCGAAAGCGUGGGGAGCAAACAGGAUUAGAUACCCUGGUA
rnacentral:rRNA from 1 species